rnacentral:lncRNA from 1 species
CUUGGGUCUUCAGUCUCUUGCCGGACCAUACCCAUGCUCCAUGGAGUCAUUAACUAUUCCAGCUGAAUUUUUCCAACUAGUGUUCAGUUGGGUCUGCCCCAGCCAGAAUGUGUAAACCAGUUUAUGUUAACUGUUUUGCACCAUCAUGUGUGAGAUAGCACAACAGGAUGAAAAUAACUUCUCCAAGAUGUGAGAGAGAGCUGCCGCACUGCAUUCUGAAGCAUUGGCAAAGCACCUACAUUCAUGUUUAGAAGUCCUUUCCUGAGAAGAUUAAGGAUUGGAAUCAGCCACUUUGAAUAUUUAGAAACUUUUUUAAGGAAAAGUUAUUGGUAUUAAUAUGUACAAUCCUGGAGGCAGAGGGUGAACUAGAUGAUGUUUAUAAAUAGACAAGGAGGUCCCUUCAUGUUUGUGAAAUAAUCUAGGGACUGUGUAUUGAGUUCAAAUUAUUCUUUUAAUCUGUCAUUUUGGAGCCUAAUAUUUUUGAAAUUAACUAGAAAGUGGCAUCUUAAGAUCUCAGUUCUGUUUUUCCUCCUUUCUACCCUAGUUAAGGCAGAGCCCAAACAGUAUGUUUUGCUAUUACCUAAUGGGUAACCUGUAUGAACUGUUUUUACUUUGCAAUUUUUGCUCUUGUCAUUUGUAAAGUAUUUGAUUUUAAAAACCAGGUGCUCUCAUUCAGCACUACACUGGUUUCUGGGGCAGAGGUGAGGCUGCAUCUGUGUGUGGUCAGGUGAGAUGCUGAGGAGGAUGAGCUUACUGGCUCAUCACUAGAAAGAUGGGGACCCUUAUCACUAAGAUCUCAAGAAAGUGUUAUGUGAGCCUAGUUUAUAUUGGCUAGGGGUUUGAACCAUGGCCAUGUUGCAAGUUUUCUGUGACUCUCCAAAAGAGUGAUCGUGAAGAUAUCAACCAUAUGGGCAUUAUGGUAGACUAAAUAAUGGUCCCCCAAAUGCCCAUGCCCUAUUCCCCAGAACCUGUAGAAAUGUUACCUUAGAGACUUUGCAGAUGUGAUUAAGGAUCUUGAAUUGGGGAGAUUAUUAUGGAUUAUCUGUGUGGGCCUUAAAUGUCAUUGUAAGAAUCCUUAUAUGAAAGAGGCAGGGUGAGAUUUGACUAGCAGCAGAGAAAAAGAUGGGGUGGUGGCAAAAGCGAAGAAUGCAGUGAAGUGCUUUGAGGAUGGAGAAAAGGGCCACAAGCCAAAGAUGAGACCUCACUAGAAGCCAAAAAGAGGCAAAAAAAAAUGGAUCCUCCCUUCAGAACCUCCAGGGAAAAACAAGCCCUGCUGGCACCUUGAUUUAAGCCCAGUGAGAAACAUUUCAGACUUCCAACUUCCAGAACUCUGAGA